GUGAACGCUGGCGGUAGGCCUAACCCAUGCAAGUCGAACGGCAGCACAGUAAGAGCUUGCUCUUACGGGUGGCGAGUGGCGGACGGGUGAGGAAUACAUCGGAAUCUACUUUUUCGUGGGGGAUAACGUAGGGAAACUUACGCUAAUACCGCAUACGACCUACGGGUGAAAGCAGGGGAUCUUCGGACCUUGCGCGAUUGAAUGAGCCGAUGUCGGAUUAGCUAGUUGGCGGGGUAAAGGCCCGCCAAGGCGACGAUCCGUAGCUGGUCUGAGAGGAUGAUCAGCCACACUGGAACUGAGACACGGUCCAGACUCCUACGGGAGGCAGCAGUGGGGAAUAUUGGACAAUGGGCGCAAGCCUGAUCCAGCCAUACCGCGUGGGUGAAGAAGGCCUUCGGGUUGUAAAGCCCUUUUGUUGGGAAAGAAAAGCAGCAGGUUAAUACCCCGCUGUUCUGACGGUACCCAAAGAAUAAGCACCGGCUAACUUCGUG
rnacentral:rRNA from 1 species